rnacentral:misc_RNA from 1 species
GGGAUGAAAUGGUUGAGGAUCUCUCAAGGGUUUAUUUGAUUCUGCUGUUUAAUGCUUGCUUCUGCUUUGUGUGUAUAGUUUGCGUUUCUAUUUGACUGGGUUUCUUGUUUGUUAUGUUUUGUGGGCAUGUACGGUUUGGUCCUGGCUGCAUUUGUGUUCGGAAAAUCAGAGGCGAAUUCUGUUUUUCUGCUCAUUGAUGGCUGGAAGGGUAUAGAGCGAGUGGAAUGCUUAUCAAUCGAAGUUAUCGUCGCCCUCUAUACUCCAACGGAGCGGAUUGCUUCUUCUUGGUUCUGACGACCUCUGGUUUCUCACCUCUUUGGUCUAAAGCCAUGGAUCUCUGUUCUUGUUGGUUUAUGGAUUCUUUCCUAGCUCGUCAUCGUGGAUGGUCUCUAUGGGUCUCUCUAUCCAGUUACAGUUUAUUUGGCCAUGUCCUCUUCUCGUCGUUCAGCAGUUCCAGUGAUAGUGGCUGUGGAGGCGAUGACGAUGCUAAAUCUCAGUCCUAGAUAGAUUUGAGCUUGGGCCUGUAAAAGCUGGGUUUAGAAUCUCUUUAUUAGAUUUUUGGGUGGGCUUUUUUAUGGGUUGAGUUUCAGUUUGGAAGGCCUGUUAUAUCAAGCUUGUUAUUUCAGUCAUUUGUAUUUAGGCCUUAGCCUAUGUUUUGUUUCAGUG